rnacentral:piRNA from 1 species
CGAGGCAGUAGUUCCCAGAGCAACCAGUG